GUGUGACUGGGACACUACCCUCAGC
rnacentral:piRNA from 1 species